AUGCCAUGGUGAGGACAUUUUUGCAAUAAUUCCUUGAACCUAUCCCAUGCCUCAUACAAAGACUCAUCUUCAGAUUGUUGUAAGGAAGUUAUUUCCUUCUAGAGCUU